rnacentral:lncRNA from 1 species
UUUUUUUUUUCCUUUUUAUGAGAGCUCCCCUAUUUUUGAAAAGAGAGUCCCUUAUACCUCUCGAUGGACUCCCUGAUCACACGGGAUGCUCCUCUCGUGCUGGCUGCCGAGUAUCCCAGACGCGGAGAGGCUGUGAUUGCAGGAUCUUUGGUAAGGGAGGAAGGCGCGUGGAUGGCUGGGAGCUGAUCACGGAUCCUGGGAUGCUGAUGAUCUUCGGAUGCGGAGGGACGGUUGCAUAGCAGAAA